GCAAGCUCCCUUCUCGACACAACAGAGCAAAACGACGGCACUCCGGAAAUUUUCUUCAUUUCCCCCAAGGGAGCAGAGAGGGAAUGAAUAAAUCGUACGCCAGAGUUUUCAUGGUCAGAACGCCCUAAGGGGCCAGUCCUUAGCAAAACGUCUCUUUCUCUCUGGUUUCUUCAUGUUUGGGGCCCACCCAGAAGACAAUGUGUCACAACCAUGUUAAUUGAUUUAUUUCAUUGCCGUUAUGAAGGGGGAGAAGGAUGCGCAUCUCGAUACGAGUUGAGUGCAUAUUGUUUCCCCCACCCAAAGGUUAUUUUCGAACUGUCCCCAAAAAUUCCCUAAAACGGUACAACAACUAAUUAAGCAAAGUUUUGUUUUGUUUAAUCAAACUAAAACCCUUUUUAAGUGACAAAAAAGGCAUGUUAACGCGUUGUUUUCAUUUCAUAUUAUCCUGCUCGGUAAGGAUACGCACGAAACCGUCGGUGUCUCCUCGGUGUCCGUCUCGCUCGUUAUCAAUUCGAAGCAACACUUUCCCCUACCCAAAAUAGGGGUUUCGGGUCCCAAAAAAACAAGUUAACACGCUCUGCUGUUCACCGCCGCUAAUUAGAAAGUAUCUAAACUGUUUCCAGAGCAGCAACGACAGCAGCACCAGCAGGAAAUGGGGUUUUGACACCCAACGGUACAUUAAAGUCGCACCAUUUAUCCAUUACCACCACCACCAUCACCGCGCACAGCGUCACCAGGAUGUUUUUUUGCUGUUGUUUCUGGACAAAACAGGGUGUGGAUACUUGAACCCCACGCACACACAGGUUGGAUGAACUUUUGAUAGUGAAUGUCCUGUCUAUCCGGUCGCUUGAGCUUCAAAUUUGUCGGUGGAAAUUAUCAUAUCUUCCUGGAAAAGGGGAAGGAAAUGUUGCGUGUCUAGGGUUCACUUGAGCAUGAAAUGUUUUCUUCCACGCGUCAAAUUCUACCUUCCAGGACCAUCGAUCAGAGUUGGCGGUGGCGGACUUUGCUCCCUGCCGAUCCUAGCGUGCCGUGUUGUUGGUGGAGGGCGAGAGACAUAAACUAACCUCAAAAAGGGAAGCAAAAAAACUCACACCCAUACACGCGGGCAAACUAACAAACCGCAGCACUUGGUUACGCGUCUGCGUGGCAAAUCGUACGGUUAAAAGCGUGUCUAGUCCGGAUGUCGCCAUUACUUUUCCCGGACGACAGGUAAGCCACCACACUACAGUGAAGGAGUUGGCUGCGCGAGGUCCUUCAAUCAGGGGUUUUGUUAGUUUAUCCGUAGAAACGUGUACUACUAAGUCGGAAAUCCAAUCAAUUCAACGCUCUGGACAAACCUUCCACACUCUACACUCUAUGUAAAUUUGGGACUAUUUGCCUGACUGGCUGGAUACACACACUCGGAGCCUCCUUUUCGACGUCGUCUCGUCCUCGUGUGUGGCUGUCAUAAAAUGGCAAAAAGGCACCAAAAUGAUAAUAAACCUUUCUGAAAUAUUGUACGGCAAGGGCAAUAUAUGUUGAUCUAUUCUCCAUCCCCCGCCAAAAACAAAACACAACAUUCGGGAACGAAAAUUUAUACACACUUUCUACUCCCAUCCAGCCCAAAAGUCCAUAAACCUCCAGGACCGCUCAGCGACGGUCACGGUCACCGAUAUUGUUAUUACAAGGCCGACGAGGAGGAGGAGGACGAAGUUUCAACAUUUUUGUUGUUUUAUUCUCUCCCUGUCUGUCUGACCAUAAAACGAUUACACACAACAUAAAGCAGCACACAUUUGAAUUUCGGGUUUAUUUGGAUUGGUUUCAUAUUUUUCCUUCGUAACAAGCCGGAGGGGAAGAGAGGGAGAGUUUGUAUGUGUGUGUGUGAGUAGAACAUAAACAGGACCUUCUUUUAAAUGUCCUUUGCAGUAUUACCACAAAAAAUGCACCGAUUUUGAUCGAAAUAUUGCUCCUCUUCUCUAUCCGUUACUGCCGUUGCGUUUGGUUGAUUUUUGCGACCCCUGCGGUAGAAAAAAAGUGGUGCCCAAGGGCCAUGACGAUGUUUAUGACAGCAAUUGACAGUGACGCCAGGACGACGAAUGCGGUUUUGCAUCGCUUAAUUCACCUCGAACACAGGGGUGGAGGUAUGAAAAAUGGAUAAUUUAUCCUUCACUAGCCGGCCACUGGUGGGGUGUCCUCGGGGUGAAAGAGCACGGAAGGAAGGGAGAGUCCUCUUCUCUCCUCUUCAAAGUGCAACUUCCAAUUAACUAUCUAUUGUGCGUGGCGGAUGCAACCAUUUUUUUGCCUACUUCAUGCUGAUUUGGCCACUGUGUGUACCUACCCUCACAACAAUCGGUGCACCGGUGAAGGUAAGUGAUGUAGCAGUUAAACUAAUGAUCCUUUUCUACGCCAUACGACGUUGUGAAUGCACAAUUUCUAGCUGCAUUACUGUAUAUUUUCCUUUCUUUUUUUUCAUUCGUUGUAGGGUCAUAACGGAAAUGUCAACAAAAAAAAAGAGAGGAAACCCGUACCGAGAAGCCAGCAAAAUAAACAUUCCGCAAUCGGGGAAUAAUAAUAAUCGUCCGCAGAGUGUACGAAAGCGAACUCAAAUAGGACGAAAUAGAUAACGGAGCAAUGGGAAAAUCAUGGGUACGAUUGGGCAAAUAAAAAUAACGUUCAGUGCGUUUUACCCUGUCGGAACAGAGACCAGAGGCCCAAAAAACCAUCCGAAAACACACGGAAAUGGGCUUUCUUCACCUGGAAUUUCCAAUUUCGUUACGACGCGUCGGCAGUUUCCUUUUAAAAAAUACCCCAAAAAAUCGAUCCCUGCUCUAUAGCUGGGGCAUUAAGGACGGGUAACUGUCGGGGCGGAUGCAUUCGAUCCUAAAAUAAUAUUUAUACAAUUCCGCAAAAAAGGGGGAACAUAUUUCGGGUCGAUCGCGUCCUGAUCGGCAUAUGUGAGCUUUGAACAUGCAAUCGCAUGAAGAACACGUUUGGACAAAUAAUAGUAAUAAUAACAGUUGCCGCAACGGUCCUCUCUACAUUCACCCUACCCCUUCGAUGCUAAAGGGCGUGUCUAAUGUCGCAUAGGAACCGUCUGUCCAAUACAUACAUAUCUUCCAUCUGUUUGCGAUCGACGAUCUCCGUUUUCGCGACAUGCUUGUUGAAGUUGUCGCCAUAUUUUCAUCAUUAUGGACCAAAUUUAUUAGCUCACUACUAUGCAAAACACACACACAAAGGGUAACGAGAAUAGGAGAAUCCUUUUUUUAUUGCUGCAGCGAAUCCAAUCAUCCAUUAUGGCAACUACUGUGAAAAAGGGAAGCUGCUGUGCGUGAGCGUUGCUAGCCCGUGAGUGGAUUACGCAUUGUAUUAUGCAGUUGUGUGCAUCGCGGAAAGGGAGAAAAAGGGUGAUAAAAAGGAGUACUUUCCCGUGGUAGGUGAAGUGGGAGAGGAGGGAACCAUAUUUUUACCAGCCUGCUAGAUCCCGCUGUUCUCUGCUCAGCACCCCUUUUUCCAGCUUCUCUUGACGCAGCGGUUUAUUGCAGUGAACAAUCAAAGCAGGCGCAGAGAAGUUCCCCUAGUUCCUCUUCACGGAGGAUCAUUUAGCCAGCCGUCAGUAGCUUCAGCAAAUCAUUUCUCAAUUCUUUUGGCCCUGUCCCCGUGUGCCGCGGCAUCGGUCGAUACCACCAGCCACUACUGCAACCAGUUGUCGAUGCUCAUCCAACUCACUUCCGCUUCCAAUCUCAAAAACGUGCUGGAAAAGCCAAGAGAGCUGUCUGUGUGUGAAGGGAUUAAAGGUCUCACACAUGCGGAAUUGCCCGUAAGAGUGCGUCCCUGGAGGAGUGUCAACUGCACGCGGGAAAAGAACGUCACAAAGAAACGGGGUAGAACACUUGAGAAGGAACCAGCAACCCUCCGUUUUGCUAAGACCUUCCUCCUCCUUGGGCUAUAGAAGGAAUCCGGAUUCAUGAAGUUCACACUUGGCCCAUCCUUUUUGUAAAGCGAAACUGGCGCUCCAGGCUAGCGAGAGUAGAAGGGGAGGAUCCUCGUUGUGCGAUCCUUGCGCGACGGACGGGACCAACCGUCGCAGGGUACUUGAUCGUCCCCUGUAACCGGUGAAACUGGGGGCAAGUAUAUUAGUUACACGAUAAUUGGCAUUCAAUUGUCCAGACUGUGCAAGGGAUUUAACAUUCACACAUACAGAAAGGGCCCAGGCCUGAGGGAUUGAUGAAACCCCCUUGUAACUGGUAGCAAUUCCGUACCUGGCAUGAUCCAUUUCUGUUAACCAUUCAACUUUUUUUGUAUGCAGACCAACAUCGCUUGACUGUUUGAGGUUAGGAAACCCUCUCUCGGCUCUCCCAUCGUGACCGUUUGGACGCAAUUAUCUACACAUUCAAUGUCAAUCAUACGUAACGAAUCACGGCAGGGCAGCAUCAUGCACUUCUCGAGAGCUUUCCGGUCGGUUGGUCG